GCUGUAGUUCAGUAGGUAGAGCAUAUACCUUGGAUGCUGAAGGUCCCUGGUUCAAUCCCUGGCAUCUCCA